rnacentral:tRNA from 2 species
GAUCCCGUAGCUCAGCUGGCAGAGCAUCUGACUUUUAAUCAGAGGGUCCCAGGUUCGAGCCCUGGCGGGAUCA